rnacentral:rRNA from 1 species
UAUACAUGCAGUCGAGCGAACGGACGAGAGUGCUUGCACUCUCUGAUGUUAGCGGCGGACGGGUGAGUAACACGUGGGUAACCUACCUAUAAGACUGGGAUAACUUCGGGAAACCGGAGCUAAUACCGGAUAAUAUUUAGCUUCGCAUGAAGCAAUAGUGAAAGACGGUUCUGCUGUCACUUAUAGAUGGACCCGCGGUGUAUUAGCUAGUUGGUGAGGUAACGGCUCACCAAGGCAACGAUACAUAGCCGACCUGAGAGGGUGAUCGGCCACACUGGGACUGAGACACGGCCCAGACUCCUACGGGAGGCAGCAGUAGGGAAUCUUCCGCAAUGGACGAAAGUCUGACGGAGCAACGCCGCGUGAGUGAAGAAGGUUUUCGGAUCGUAAAACUCUGUUGUAAGGGAAGAACAAGUACGUUAGUAACUGAACGUACCUUGACGGUACCUUACCAGAAAGCCACGGCUAACUACGUGCCAGCAGCCGCGGUAAUACGUAGGUGGCAAGCGUUAUCCGGAAUUAUUGGGCGUAAAGCGCGCGUAGGCGGUCUCUUAAGUCUGAUGUGAAAGCCCCCGGCUCAACCGGGGAGGGUCAUUGGAAACUGGGAGACUUGAGUGCAGAAGAGGAGAGUGGAAUUCCAUGUGUAGCGGUGAAAUGCGCAGAGAUAUGGAGGAACACCAGUGGCGAAGGCGGCUCUCUGGUCUGUAACUGACGCUGAGGUGCGAAAGCGUGGGGAUCAAACAGGAUUAGAUACCCUGGUAGUCCACGCCGUAAACGAUGAGUGCUAAGUGUUGGGGGGUUUCCGCCCCUCAGUGCUGCAGCUAACGCAUUAAGCACUCCGCCUGGGGAGUACGGUCGCAAGACUGAAACUC